CCUAAAAACCACCCUGGCGCCCGGGCCCGCAGGCCUUGGGCCGGCUCUGAAAAGUCUGGGCUGUGCACGUGAUGAGCGCGUAGGCGGGAGCCCCAGACAGGACCCGGACGGGCAUUUCGAGAAAAAGCAGCGGUGACAGCCUUUAGUCCCCAUCUCCAUUGUUCCUGCCAGCUCUGGACCCCAGGCUGCAUGAGACGUAGCUCCCAGGGGACACCCGACCCCGUGGCCCCAGUCUUAGAGUUGGCCUGUUUCCUCUCAUCUCUGGCUCCAUGACUUCAAUCCUCCUGCAGCUUCCACUGCCCCUGUCUGGCUCAUGUCUUGCUGUCUGGUGUCGUGAACUGGGAGUGCAGUAAAGAGGAGUGACAAGCCCGAGGGGCCACGUUCAUACCUGCCACUGCCAACUGUCCUGAUGUAACUGCUUUGUCAGCUUGCCUGCCAGGAUUUGUGACAAGUUUGGGGUCUCUAUAAUCCUGCUCCUUUGGCUGCCAGCCAUCUCCAUAAAAAAAGAAUUUGAAAGGCUUCCAUUCUUUCAGAGACCUGUUUCCCGGGACUGGCUGCAAGGGAGAGAUGCACUGACCCUCUGCCAGACCUUAAACGGUGCCAGACUCAGUUGAAUAUCUCCUGGAUCAGGAAAAGACCUGGAAAGGAGAGAGAAUUAUCUACGGAAUGGAGAGUUUCCUCACAACAGACAGCUUUGCCAGGUCAUUUCAAAAUGUAUCAAAUAAAUAUAUUUUGAAGUAAAAUACUUGGAUUUCUUUCAGGGUCUCCUGUCACAUUGCUAUCUUAUUGCUACAAAAAGUCUGUCUUGUCAGUCUUAAGAUCUCUGUUUUAAUGUUAAUGCUGGUCAGUUGUGCCUGAAUUCCAAAGAGAGGAGAGUAUAAUGAAGCAUGUCCGACCCUCCCUUCCCAUCAUGGCCUGAACUAGUCUUUUAGGUUUCUUUGAAAUCCCCUUGGCUGAGAGUUGGGGGUUCGUUCAGUGGUUCGGGGGCUUAGAAUUUUAUUUUUGUUUAGAAUAUUUAUUAUUCUUUUGUUUACAGCAAGUUGGCUGUUUUCCCAUAUUAAUGUCUGGAAGUUUUAAAAUGUUUUUUCAUGCACUUUAAUUAUUAAAAAUUUAUUUGUAAAUGAACUUACAUGCAAAAGUGUUAA